CCCUUAGAUGUUCUGGGCCGCACGCGCGCUACACUGGCUGACUCAACAUGUUUUAUAUCAUUUCGAUAUUUUCGCUUGGUUGAGAUGCCUGGCUAAUCAUUUUAAUGUCAGCCGUGAUGGGGCUAGAGUUUUGCAAUUAUGACUCUCUAACGAGGAAUUCCUAGUAUGGUCAAGUCAUCAGCUUGUCCAGAUUACGUCCCUGCCCUUUGUACACACCGCCCGUCGCACCUACCGAUUGUGUGUUCCGUUGAGAUGAUUGGAUUGUUUUUUAUUUCUCUCACGAGUUAUUUAAGACGAAAAAUUCAGCAAAACUUGACACAUAGAGGAAGGUGAAGUCGUAACA
rnacentral:rRNA from 1 species